rfam:Kitasatospora cheerisanensis KCTC 2395 genomic scaffold scaffold00001, whole genome shotgun sequence.
CUUGAGGGAGCCGACCAGCAGGGGCUGUUCGGCGGGCCGGUCCUGGCCGUAGGUGGCCAGCAGGGCCUGGGCCUC